rnacentral:lncRNA from 1 species
AUCACUCAUCGAGGCGACUCCGGUCCAGUCCAGACAGACGAACACCGCAGGGCGCUGCGAAAUAACGGAGGCCGAUGUGCCGUGGAGCUCUCUGUUUUUCCCUUCCGGCAAGAGAAGAAUUUUGUUCGUUCGUCCUGUGUAGUCGAUGCAGCAGCAGCAGCUCCAGCUUCAUUGCCGACGUAGAGAGAGCUCUGCAGCGUACGUCGUCGCCUUCCUCCAGUCCAGUCCAGUCCAGUAGCAUUGGGCCAUUGACUCUCCUGAAUUACUACAACUAGUGCUGGCCUUGCCUUUCUAUCUAUGUAAAUGUAACUAAAUCCAUCUACUCACUGAUCUGCUCCAAGAUUAUUAUUGCUUUUACUUGAAUAUAUCAUGUCUCGGUAAAAUUCUCCCGGGAUCAACUUUUGUUACUCUCUGAAGGUGAUAAGCUUGGAGUCGACCGACCGACUAGCGCACCAGGCAGUACCCAAACUCGAUCGUCCGGCCAUGCGGGCACGUGUAUGUCUCGGCCCGGCACGCGGCGCGCGGGCCACGUGCCAUGGCGCGCUCCGCGCGUCUCCUCGCCGAACGCGUGUCGACUUGAAGGCCGUUAAAGUGCGUCGGCACUGCCGCUUGCCUCGGCUGUCUGCUCUGCUCCCGUGGUUCUCUUCUUGCGCGGUUGCGCACUAGCUUUUGCUUUGUAGACUCUGUAUCAUCGACGAGCUCCGACCUCGACUUAGCUCCGGGCAGCAGGCGACGAUGUCGGUGAGCCUCGUGAGGGCGUCGCUGCCGGCCUGGUGCACGGCGGCGGCAGCGGGGAGCAGCGGCCUGCGCUCUCGCCUGCGCGGCACGGCGUGCUCCGGUCGGCGCGUGGGCGUCCGGUGCAGCUCCACCACGCCGCCGGGUUUCCCUCCCGGGCCGACGCCGCCGGGGUUCCCCGCGGUGCCGUCGCCCGAGGAGGUGCCGGGCACGGCCCGCCCGCCCGAGGAGAUGCCGGGCACGGCGCGGCCGCCGCAGGAGAUGCCGGGCAUCGACACGCCGCCGGAGUUCAACGCGCCCCCGGGCGUGGACGUGCCGAUGCCAGGGGCGCCGGUGCCGGGCACGCCUCCCAGCCCGGAGCAGCCGGGGCCGUUCGUGCCGUCGCCGCCGAGGCCGGAGAUCCCGACCGUGCCGCCGAACCCCGACGUGAUCCCGCCGCCGCCGCCGGAGGUGGAUCCGCCGCGCGCCCCGCCCGAGGUGGUACCUCCGCAGCCGUCCGACGUCCCGCCUCCCUUGGUGUGAGUAAGCGCGCGCAGUGCCCCCGGCCACGACGGUGACCCGAGAUCCGCUGUAAAAUAGCGUAGUAGUAAUAUGUGCAACUAGCUUCCAGCUGCUUCAAAUAAAAUAAAGAGGAUUGGCCGCGGCGCCCUGUUCCGGUGUAAAUUUUGUCACGGAUGAUAACAUGAAUCUUGUCACAGUUCUCUGAACUCUGGGUUGUAGUACUGGGACAAGAGUGAUUUAGAGCCUGACUGCUCGCCAUCUUAAAAUUCAGCUCCGCUCCAGAAAAAAUAAGCCAAACAGGAUAGCUUCAUGAUAUGCCGCUUCAUAAAAAAAUAGAAUCUGGGAUACAAAUUCCAAUUUUUUAUGAAGCUCUUCAGGGUGCUUCAACAAACUCUAGAAGCUAAAGUUGGGUGGAGAAAGGCAAACCAAACAGGGUAGCUUCAUGAUAUGCCGCUUCAUAAAAAAAUUAGAAUCUGGAAUACAACUUUCAAUUUUUUAUGAAGCUUCAAAGGGUGCUUCAACAAACUCUAGAAGCUGGAGUUAGGUGGAAAUUACCCACCACUGUCACCAGUAACUGGAUACCUUUCGUUUUUUCCCUUAAAACCAAUCAAAUAGAUCCUUUUAUCAAAUUUCUUAUUUUUAAGCUGAAGCUAGAUAGAAGUCAAACAUUUUCUUUGCUAGUGCUACAACUUCUGGAUGAAACUGCUUCAAAGUGAAUUUAAUUGAGCGAAACUGAUUUUGAUGAAGCGGAGCAGUUUCGAACAGGCCUGUCGGAGUAAUGGACCACGGGUAGCCUCACCCGAGUUCCUGAACCUACGGGUUCCGUUAUUGGUUAUUGACCAGAGAGAUGUCUUGGUCAUGUCUGCAUAGUUCUUGAACCCGUAGGGUCGGCACGCUUAACGUUCGUUGACGAUAUGGUAUUAUAUGAGUUAUGUAUGUUGGUAACCGAAUCUUGUUCGGAGUCCCGGAUGAGAUCACGGACAUGACAAGGAGCUCCGGAAUGGUCCGUAGGUAAAGAUUGAUAUAUUGGAUGAUAUGGUUAGGCCAAGGGGUCAGGCCCACGGGGCUAUAAGUCGGUGCAAAAGGACUUUUGCGGAGGCCAGGGGCCAAACGCCGGAGACCCUGGCGUCUGGUCCUGGGCCAGACGCCGAGGCCCAUGGCGUCUGGGCCAGACGCCAAGGAUUGUGGCAUUUGGUCCUGGAGUCCGAGUGGGACUCUUUCCUUUCGGGCAAAACCGACUUUGAGGAGGCUUUUACUCCAAGUUUCGACCCCAGGGCUCAACAUAUAAAUAGAGGGGCGGGGCUAGCACCAAAGACACAUCAAGAAACACCAAGCCGUGUGCCGGCAACCCCGUCCCCUCUAGUUUAUCCUCCGUCAUAGUUUCCGUAGUGCUUAGGCGAAGCCCUGCGAAGAUUGUUCUUCACCAGCACCGUCACCACACCGUCGUGCUGCCGGAACUCAUCUACUACUUCGCCCGUCUUGCUGGAUCGAGAAGGCGAGGAAGUCAUUGAGCUGAACGUAACUCGGAGGUGUUAUGCGUUCGGUACUUGGAUCGGUCGGAUCGUGAAGACGUACGACUACAUCAACCGUGUUGAUAAACGCUUCCGCUUAGCGAUUUUCAAGGGUAUAAAGAGACACUCCCCCUCUCGUUGCUAUGCAUCACCAUGAUCUUGCAUGUGCGUAGGAAAUUUUUUGAAAUUACUACGUUCCCCAACAAUGGCAUCCGAGCCAGGUUUUAUGCGUAGAUGUUAUAUGCACGCCACAAGUGAGUUGUGGGCGAUACAAGUCAUACUGCUUACCAGCAUGUCAUACUUUGGUUCGGCGGUAUUGUUGGAUGAAGCGGCCCGGACCGACAUUACACGUACGCUUAUGCGAGACUGGUUCUACCGACGUGCUUUGCACACAGGUGGCUGGCGGGUGUCAGUUUCUCCAACUUUAGUUGAACCGAGUGUGGCUACGCCCGGUCCUUGAGAAGGUUAAAACAGCACUAACUUGACGAACUAUCAUUGUGGUUUUGAUGCGUAGGUAAGAACGGUUCUUGCUAAGCCCGUAGCAGCCACAUAAAACUUGCAACAACAAAGUAGAGGACGUCUAACUUGUUUUUGCAGGGCAUGUUGUGAUGUGAUAUGGUCAAGACGUGAUGCUAUAUUUUAUUGUAUGAGAUGAUCAUGUUUUGUAACCGAGUUAUCGGCAACUGGCAGGAGCCAUAUGGUUGUUGCUUUAUUGUAUGCAAUGCAAUCGCCCUGUAAUUGCUUUACUUUAUCACUAAGCGGUAGCGAUAGUCGUAGAAGCAAUAGUUGGUGAGACGACAACGAUGCUAUGGUGGAGAUCAAGGUGUCGCGCCGGUGACGAUGGUGAUCAUGACGGUGCUUCGGAGAUGGAGAUCACAAGCACAAGAUGAUGAUGGCCAUAUCAUAUCACUUAUAUUGAUUGCAUGUGAUGUUUAUCUUUUAUGCAUCUUAUCUUGCUUUGAUUGACGGUAGCAUUAUAAGAUGAUCUUUCACUAAAUUUCAAGAUAAAAGUGUUCUCCCUGAGUAUGCACCGUUGCCAAAGUUCGUCGUGCCCAGACACCACGUGAUGAUCGGGUGUGAUAAGCUCUACGUCCAUCUACAACGGGUGCAAGCCAGUUUUGCACACGCAGAAUACUCAGGUUAAACUUGACGAGCCUAGCAUAUGCAGAUAUGGCCUCGGAACACUGAGACCGAAAGGUCGAGCGUGAAUCAUAUAGUAGAUAUGAUCAACAUAGUGAUGUUCACCAUUGGAAACUACUCCAUUUCAUGUGAUGAUCGGUUAUGGUUUAGUUGAUUUGGAUCACGUGAUCACUUAGAUGAUUAGAGAGAUGUCUAUCUAAGUGGGAGUUCUUAAGUAAUAUGAUCAAUUGAACUUAAAUUUAUCAUGAACUUAGUCCUGGUAGUAUUUUGCAAAUUAUGUUGUAGAUCAAUAGCUCGCGUUGUUGCUUUCAUAUGUUUAUUUUGAUAUGUUCCUAGAGAAAACUAUGUUGAAAGAUGUUAGUAGCAAUGAUGCGGACUUGGUCCGUGAUCUGAGGUUUAUCCUCAUUGCUGCACAGAAGAAUUAUGUCCUUGAUGCACCGCUAGGUGACAGACCUAUUGCAGGAGCAGAUGCAGACGUUAUGAACGUUUAGCUAGCUCAAUAUGAUGACUACUUGAUAGUUUUGUACAUCAUGCUUUAUGGCUUAGAACCGGGACUACAAAAAUGUUUUUGAAACGUCACGGAACAUAUGAGAUGUUCCAUGAGAUGAAAUUGAUAUUUCAUACUCAUGCCCGUGUCAAGAGGUAUGAGACCUCUGACAAAUACUUCGCCUAAAAGAUGGAGGAUAAUUGCUCAACUAGUGAGCAAGUGCUUAGAUUGUCUGAGUUCUACAAUCACUUGAAUCAAGUGGGGAGUUAAUCUUCCAGAUAAGAUAGUGAUUGACAGAGUUCUCUAGUCACCAUCACUAAGUUACUAGAACUUCAUGAUGAACUAUAAUAUGCAAGGGAUGACAAACACGAUUCCCGAGCUCUUCGUGAUGCUGAAAUCAACGAUGGUAGAAAUCAAGAAAGAACAUCAAAUGUUGAUGAUUGACAAGAUCACUAGUUUCAAGAAAAGGGCAAAGGGAAAGGAAGGAAAACUUCAAGUAAAAUGGCAAGCAAGUUGUCACUCCCGUGCAGAAGCCCAAAGCUGAACCAAAGCCUGAAACUAAGUGCUUCUACUGCAAAGGAAAUGGUCACUGGAAGCGGAAAUGCCCUGAAUAUUUGGUGGAUAAGAAGGAUGGCAAAGUGAACAAGGGUAUAUUUGACAUACAGGUUAUUGAUGUGUACCUUACUAGUGUUUAUAGUAUCCCCUGAGUAUUUGAUACUUGUUCGGUUGCUAAGAUUAGUAACUCGAAAUAGGAGUUACAGAAUAAACAGAGACUAGUUGAGGGUGAAGUAACGAUGUGUGUUGGAAGUGGUUCCAAGAUUGAUAUGAUCAUCAUCGUACACUCCCUAUAUUUUCGAGAUUAGUGUUGAACCUAAAUAAAUGUUAUUUGGUGUUUGCGUUGAGCAUAAAUAUGAUUAGAUCAUGUUUAUUGCGAUACGAUUAUUCAUCUAAGACAGAGAAUAAAUUGUUAUUAUGUUUACAUGAAUAAAACCUUCUAUGGUCAUACACCCAAUGUUGAUGGUUUAUUGAAUCUUGAUCAUGGUGAUACACAUAUUCAUAAUAUUGAUGCCGAAAGAUGCAAAGUGGAUAAUGAUAGUGCAACAUAUUUGUGGCACUGCCGUUUGAGUCAUAUCGGUGUAAAGCGCAUGAAGAAACUCCAUAAAGAUGGAUUUUUUUGAAUCAUUUGAUUAUGAAUCAUUUGAUGCUUGCGAACCGUGCCUUAUGGGCAAGAUGACUAAAACUCCGUUCUCCGGAACAAUGGAACGAGCUAGUGACUUAUUGGAAAUAAUACAUACUGAUGUAUGUGGUCCAAUGAGUGUUGAUGCUCGUGGCGGGUAUCGUUAUUUUCUGACCUUCACAAGAUGAUUUGAGCAGAUAUGGGUAUAUCUACUUAAUGAAACACAAGUCUGAAACAUUUGAAAUGUUCAAAAAAAUUCAGAGUGAAGUGAAGAAUCAUCGUAACAAGAAAAUAAAGUUUCUACGAUCUGAUCAUGGAGAAGAAUAUUUGAGUUACGAGUUUGGCCUUCAUAUACAACAGUGUGGAAUAGUUUCACAGCUCACGCCACAUGGAACACACAGCGUUAUGGUGUGUCCGAACGUCGUAACCACACUUUAUUGGAUAUGGUGCAAUCUAUGAUGUCUCUUAUCGGUUUACCACUAUUGUUUUGGGGUUAUGCAUUAGAGACAGUUGCAUUCACUUUAAAUAGGGCACCAUCGAAAUCCGUUGGUACGACGCCUUAUGAACUGUGGUUUGGCAAGAAACCAAAGUUGUCAUUUCUUAAAAUUUUGGGGCUACAAUGCUUAUGUGAAAAGUUUCAACCUGAUAAGCUCGAACCCAAAUCGGAGAAGUGCGUCUUCAUAGAAUACCCAAAAGAAACUGUUGGGUACACCUUCUAUCACAGAUCCGAAGGCAAGAUAUUCGUUGCUAAGAUGGAUCCUUUCUAGAGAAGGAGUUUCUCUCGAAAGAAGUGAGUGGGAGGAAAGUAAAACUUGAUGAGGUAACAGUACCUGCUCCCGAAUUGGAAAGUAGUUCAUCACAGAAAUCAGUUCCAGUGAUUCCUACACCAAUUAGUGAGGAAGCUAGUGAUGAUGAUCAUGAAACUUCAGAUUAAGUUACUACAGAACCUCGUAGGUCUUCCAAAGUACAGUCCGCACCAGAGUGGUACGAUAAUCCUGUUCUGGAAGUCAUGUUACUAGACCAUGAUGAACCUACGAACUAUGAGGAAGCGAUGAUGAGCCCAGAUUCCACGAAAUGGCUCGAGGCCUUGAAAUCUGAGAUAGGAUCCAUGUAUGAGAACAAAGUGUGGACUUUGGUGGACUUGCCCGAUGAUCGGCAAUCCAUAGAAAAUAAAUGGAUCUUCAAGAGGAAGACGGACGUUGAUAGUAGUGUUACUAUCUACAAAGGUCGACUUAUCGCAAAAGGUUUUUCGACAAGUUCAAGGUGUUGAAUACAAUGAGAUUUUCUCACUCGUAUCGAUGCUUAAAAGUCUGUCUGAAUCAUGUUAGCAAUUGCCACAUUUUAUGAAAUCUGGCAAAUGGAUGUCGAAACUGCAUUCCUUAAUGGAUUUAUUAAUGAAGAGUUGUAUAUGAUGCAACCAGAAGAUUUUGUCAAUCCUAAAGGUGCUAACAAAAUGUGCAAGCUCCAGCGAUCCAUCUAUGGACUGGUGCAAGCAUCUCGGAGUUGGAAUAUACGCUUUGAUGAGUUGAUCAAAGCAUAUGAUUUUAUACAGACUUUUGGAGAAGCCUGUAUUUACAAUAAAGUGAGUGGGAGCACUACAGCAUUUUUGAUAAGUAUAUGUGAAUGACAUAUUAUUGAUCGGAAAUAAUGUAUAAUUAUUUUGCAAAGCAUAAAGGAGUGUUUGAAAGGAGUUUUUCAAAGAAAUACCUCGGUGAAGCUGCUUACAUAUUGAGCAUCAAGAUCUAUAGAGAUAGAUAAGGACGCUUGAUAAGUUUUUCAAUGAAUACAUACCUUGACAAGAUUUUGAAGUAGUUCAAAAUGGAACAGUCAAAGAAAGAGUUCUUGCAUGUGUUAGAAGGUGUGAAAUUGAGUAAGACUCAAAGGCCGACCACGGCAGAAGAUAGAAAGAGAAUGAAAAAUCAUUCCCUAUGCCUUAGUCAUAGGUUCUAUAAAGUAUGCUAUGUUGUGUACCAGACCUAUUGUAUACCUUGCUGUGAGUUUGGCAAAUGAAUACAAUUUUGAUCUAAGAGUAGAUCACUGGACAACGGUCAAGAAUAUCCUUAGUGAGGACUAAGGAGCUGUUUCUCGAUUAUGGAGGUGAUAAAAGAGAUCGUCGUAAAGAGUUACAUCGAUGCAAGCUUUUACACCGAUCCAGAUGACUCUAAGUCUCAAUCUUGAUACAUAUUGAAAGUGGGAGCAAAUAGCUAGAGUAGCUCCGUGCAGAGCAUUGUAGACAUAGAAUAUUUGCAAAAUACAUACGGCUCUGAAUGUGACAUACCCGUUGACUAAACUUCUCUCUCGAGCAAAACAUGAUCAUACCUUAGUACUCUUUGGGUGUUAAUCACAUAGCGAUGUGAACUAGAUUAUUGACUCUAGUAAACCCUUCGGGUGUUGGUCACAUGACGAUGUGAACUAUGGGUGUUGAAUCACAUGAUGAUGCGAAAUAACGGAGGCCGAUGUGCCAUGGAGCUCUCUGUUUUCCCUUUCGGCAAGAGAAGAAUUUUGUUUCUUCGUCCUGUGUAGUCGAUGCAGCAGCAGCUGCUCCAGCUUCAUUGCCGACGUAGAGAGAGCUCUGCAGCGCAUGUCGUCGCCUUCCUCCAGUCCAGUCCAGUAGCAUUGGGUCCUUGACUCUCCUGAAUUACUACAACUAUUGCUGGCCUUGCCUUUUCUAUCUAUGUAAAUGUAAAUCCAUCUACUGACCGAUCUGCUCCAAGAUUAUUAUUACUUUUACUUCAAGAUCAUGUCUCGGUAAAAUUCUCCGGGGAUCAACUUUUGUUACUCUCUG